rnacentral:rRNA from 1 species
AUGAACGCUAGCGACAGGCCUAACACAUGCAAGUCGAGGGGCAGCACAAGGAGCAAUCUGAGGUGGCGACCGGCGCACGGGUGAGUAACACGUAUGCAACCUGCCUGUAAGCGGGGAAUAACCCGUUGAAAGACGGACUAAUACCGCAUAAUACUAAAUUACUGCAUGGUAAUUUAUUUAAACAUUUAUGGCUUACAGAUGGGCAUGCGCAUGAUUAGCUAGUUGGAGAGGUAGCGGCUCCCCAAGGCAACGAUCAUUAGGGGUUCUGAGAGGAAGGUCCCCCACACUGGUACUGAGACACGGACCAGACUCCUACGGGAGGCAGCAGUGAGGAAUAUUGGUCAAUGGACGAGAGUCUGAACCAGCCAAGUCGCGUGCAGGAAGAAUGUCCCCCAUGGAUUGUAAACUGCUUUUGCAGGGGAAUAAAGUGCAUCACGUGUGAUGUUUUGUAUGUACUCUGCGAAUAAGGAUCGGCUAACUCCGUGCCAGCCGCGGC